rnacentral:hammerhead_ribozyme from 1 species
GUCCAGCUGACGAGUUCCAAAUAGGACGAAAUGCGCGUCCUAGAU